ACCGAAAUAGCUCAGUUAGGAAAGCGUUACACUAUAGAUCAAAAAGUCCCUGGUUCGAUCCGGGUUCCGGCA
rnacentral:tRNA from 1 species